rnacentral:rRNA from 1 species
GACGAACGCUGGCGGCGUGCUUAACACAUGCAAGUCGAACGGAAAGGCCCCUUUGGGGGUACUCGAGUGGCGAACGGGUGAGUAACACGUGAGUAACCUGCCCUUGACUUCGGGAUAACUUCAGGAAACUGGGGCUAAUACCGGAUAGGAAUCCUUGCUGCAUGGUGGGGGUUGGAAAGCUUCGGCGGUUUUGGAUGGACUCGCGGCUUAUCAGCUUGUUGGUGGGGUAGUGGCUUACCAAGGCUUUGACGGGUAGCCGGCCUGAGAGGGCGACCGGCCACAUUGGGACUGAGAUACGGCCCAGACUCCUACGGGAGGCAGCAGUGGGGAAUAUUGCACAAUGGGCGGAAGCCUGAUGCAGCACCGCCGCGUGCGGGAUGACGGCCUUCGGGUUGUAAACCGCUUUCAGCAGGGGCGAAGCUUGUGGUGACGGUACCUGCAGAAGAAGCACCGGCUAACUACGU